rnacentral:lncRNA from 1 species
AGGACUCAGUGCAAGUGUCAGUGCCCAACACCUCCCACCACCCUGCGAAGUUUUAUUCACGUCUGAAAGAUCUGGAUGCAAGAAGGUGGAGCUGGCAUCAGCCUGCUGAUCUAGGGCUGAGACCUGAUUUUGGAGACCCUCCAGCUGGAAGAGGAGAAGGAGGAGAAGAAGAAGGAACCGUCCUGCUGCAGGAGUGACCUGUUCCCCUGGCAGGAGGAGGAAUCUGCUCCCCAGCUUCCCCCCGGGCUGCUGUUGAAGGCGAGCACGUGCUGGGGGAAGGCGCUCGGGCCCCGGGCAAGCUCUGCAGAGCACAGCAGGUAGGGGCUGCCUGCCGGGAGUGCCCCUGGAUCUGGGCAAGGGGCUGCUAGGGCACGGAGCAGUGCCAUGGGCUCCUGGGAG